rnacentral:rRNA from 1 species
UACGAAGGGGGCUAGCGUUGUUCGGAAUUACUGAGCGUAAAGGGCUCGUAGGUGGCCAACUAAGUCAGACGUGAAAUCCCCAGGCUCAACCUGGGAACUGCGUCUGAUACUGGACGGCUUGAGUAUGGGAGAGGGAUGUAGAAUUCCAGGUGUAGCGGUGAAAUGCGUAGAUAUCUGGAGGAAUACCGGUGGCGAAGGCGGCAUCCUGGACCAUUACUGACGCUGAGGCGCGAAAGCUAGGGGAGCGAACGGG